rnacentral:rRNA from 1 species
AGCCUGAAGUCUUAUUUCAGGUAAAACCUGCCCAGUGCUUAUAGUAAAUGGCCGCAGUAUCUUGACUGUGCUAAGGUAGCAAAAUAAUUUGGCUUUUAAAUGGAGUCGGGAAUGAAUGGAUUUAUGGAAUAAAGCUGUCUCCCUCAUGUUAUAUUUAAUUUACUUAUUAGGUGAAAAUACCUAAUUUUUAGAAAAAAGACGAGAAGACCCUAGGAGUUUGCACUAAAAGGUAUAACGUAUACUUUAAGUUUUUGUUGGGGCGACACAGGAGUAGUUUCAAACCUCCUUUAACAUAUCUGCCGACUUUGUAUGAGAAUUUAAACUACCCUAGGGAUAACAGCGUAAUUUUAAUUUAAGCUUGCGACCUCGAUGUUGGACUAGGAAUUUGAUAGGUUAGCCGCCUGUUUAUAGUGUUCUGUUCGAACAAUGCCUCC